rnacentral:rRNA from 1 species
CAGCAGCCGCGGUAAUACGUAGGGUGCGAGCGUUAAUCGGAAUUAUUGGGCGUAAAGGGCUCGCAGGCGGUUUCUUAAGUCUGAUGUGAAAGCCCCCGGCUCAACCGGGGAGGGUCAUUGGAAACUGGGAAACUUGAGUGCAGAAGAGGAGAGUGGAAUUCCACGUGUAGCGGUGAAAUGCGUAGAGAUGUGGAGGAACACCAGUGGCGAAGGCGACUCUCUGGUCUGUAACUGACGCUGAGGAGCGAAAGCGUGGGGAGCGAACAGAAUUAGAUACCCCUGUAGUCCCUGUCUCUUAUAA